GAUGAAGAACGUAGCGAAAUGCGAUACUUGGUGUGAAUUGCAGAAUCCCGUGAACCAUCGAGUCUUCGAACGCAAGUUGCGCCCGAAGCCACUAGGCCGAGGGCACGCCUGCCUGGGCGUCACACGCCGUUGCCCCCCCAUCUACUCCUUCGGGAUUGCGGGGGGGCGGAUGAUGGCCUCCCGUGCGCCUAGCCGCGCGGUUGGCAUAAAUACCAAGUCCUCGGCGACGCACGCCACGACAAUCGGUGGUUGCGAAACCUCGGUUGCCCGUCGUGUGCGUUCGUCGCGCAUCGAGGGCUCGAAAAAAUGCUCGGCUCCGGCUGGGCUUUCAACGCGACCCCAGGUCAGGCGGGGUUACCCGCUGAAUUUAAGCAUAUCAAUAACGGAGGAA
rnacentral:misc_RNA from 1 species